GAACUUUCCCAUACAAGAUUUCAUGAGGAGACUUAUUAUGAAGUAAUCUGGUGGGUAUUCUGUUAAGUAGGUAGGUAGCAGUCAACAAACAAUCCCCCUAGAAAGAUACAAGCAUGCCAGAUUGAAAAAGCAAAGCCCUAGAGGUUUCAAGGAGAGUUCUAUGCUUCUUCUCAACAACACCAUUUUGUUGAGGGGUAUGAGAGCAGGAGGUUUGGUGUAUGAUUCCCUGGCUGCUAAAAAAGGAAAUACCCUCAGUGGUAGAUCCCAAUUCUAAGUUACUUCUAACAGUAUGAACCACAGAAUUAAAUUGGGUUUUAACCAGAGAAAGAAAUGACUUAAGCAUAGAAAAAGCAUUGCUUUUGGAUCCGAUUAAAUGUGUCCAUGUUGCCCUUGAAAUAUCAUCAACAAUUGUAAGGAAAUAUUUACAACCAGAAGAGGUUGGAGUAAGAUAAGGUCCCCAAGUGUCCAUAUAAAUCAGUUGAAAGGGUCUAGAAGUCUUAAUGGAACUAUCAGGAAAUGGAAGCCUAGUCUGUCU
rnacentral:lncRNA from 1 species